UACGGAGGAUGCGAGCGUUAUCCGGAUUCAUUGGGUUUAAAGGGUGCGUAGGCGGGUUAAUAAGUCAGUGGUGAAAUUCUGCAGCUUAACUGUAGAACUGCCAUUGAUACUGUUAGUCUUGAGUUCGGUUGAAGUAGGCGGAAUGUGUAGUGUAGCGGUGAAAUGCUUAGAUAUUACACAGAACACCGAUUGCGUAGGCAGCUUACUAAACCGUUACUGACGCUGAGGCACGAAAGCAUGGGGAUCAAACAGGAUUAGAUACCCUGGUAGUCCAUGCUGUAAACGAUGAUCACUCGCUGUUUGCGAUACACAGUAAGCGGCCAAGCGAAAGCGCUAAGUGAUCCACCUGGGGAGUACGAUCGCAAGAUUGAA
rnacentral:rRNA from 1 species